GAUGAACGCUGGCGGCGUGCCUAAUACAUGCAAGUCGAGCGAACAGACGAGGAGCUUGCUCCUCUGACGUUAGCGGCGGACGGGUGAGUAACACGUGGAUAACCUACCUAUAAGACUGGGAUAACUUCGGGAAACCGGAGCUAAUACCGGAUAAUAUAUUGAACCGCAUGGUUCAAUAGUGAAAGACGGUUUUGCUGUCACUUAUAGAUGGGUCCGCGCCGCAUUAGCUAGUUGGUAAGGUAACGGCUUACCAAGGCAACGAUGCGUAGCCGACCUGAGAGGGUGAUCGGCCACACUGGAACUGAGACGCGGUCCAGACUCCUACGGGAGGCAGCAGUAGGGAAUCUUCUGCAAUGGGCGAAAGCCUGACGGAGCAGCGCCGCGUGAGUGAUGAAGGUCUUCGGAUCGUAAAACUCUGUUAUUGGGGAAGAACAAAUGUGUAAGUAACUAUGCACGUCUUGACGGUACCUAAUCAGAAAGCAACGGCUAACUACGUG
rnacentral:rRNA from 1 species